GACGGAGGAUGCAAGCGUUAUCCGGAGUGAUUGGGCGUAAAGCGUCCGCAGGUGGCAGUUCAAGUCUGCUGUCAAAGACCGGGGCUUAACUUCGGAAAGGCAGUGGAAACUGAACAGCUAGAGUAUGGUAGGGGCAGAGGGAAUUCCUGGUGUAGCGGUGAAAUGCGUAGAGAUCGGGAAGAACAUCGGUGGCGAAGGCGCUCUACUGGACCACAACUGACACUGAGAGACGAAAGCUAGGGGAGCAAAUGGG
rnacentral:rRNA from 1 species